AGGGGUUUCUCCGUUUUCAGUUAC
rnacentral:siRNA from 1 species